rnacentral:rRNA from 1 species
UACAGAGGGUGCGAGCGUUAAUCGGAAUUACUGGGCGUAAAGCGUGCGUAGACGGUUAUUUAAGUCGGGUGUGAAAGCCCCGGGCUCAACCUGGGAAUUGCAUUCGAGACUGAAUAGCUAGGGUACGGUAGAGGGAAGUGGAAUUCCCGGUGUAGCGGUGGAAUGCGUAGAGAUCGGGAAGAACACCAGUGGCGAAGGCGGUCUGCUGGGCCGUUGCUGACGCUGAGGCGCGACAGCGUGGGGAGCAAACAGG